GUGCCAGCAGCCGCGGUAAUACGAACUGCGCGAACGUUAUUCGGAAUCACUGGGCUUACAGGGUGCGUAGGCGGCGUGGAAAGUAGGGUGUGAAAUGCCUUGGCUCAACCAAGGCACAGCGCUCUAAACUACCGCGCUGGAGUGAGUCAGGGGUGCGCGGAACUUCCGGUGGAGCGGUGAAAUGUGUUGAUAUCGGAAGGAACACCGGUGGCGAAAGCGGCGCACUGGGGCUUAACUGACGCUGAUGCACGAAAGCCAGGGUAGCGAACGGGAUUAGAUACCCCUGUAGUCC
rnacentral:rRNA from 1 species